UUGAAUCAAAAUUAACAAAACGGCUGUUUUCGACUCGCCAUUCGGUUGCCAUGGAGAAAAUGUGACCGAGGUAUUAGUAAGAGAUUUAUUGUUCAAACCUCUUUAUGAGUGCAAACUGUGCUGUGAAUAUAUUGUUUAACUUGUCAGCUGUAUAUGUUAAAGUUCUAUGUAUUGUACAGUAUAUGUAUUUAUUUAUAGGCUAUAUAUGUUAUCAUGUGCAGCUGUUGUCCAUGAAGCUGUCCAUUAAAGUUUUAAAGUUGAUUUAAUAAACAACUGAAAUAUGAUAUUAAAGCAAGAUGUCAAAGUUAUUUUACAAGUUUUUAAAAUAUGAUCAUUCAUUUUAAUCUCUUCUAAAAUGUGGCUUGUAAUAUGAUUUCAUUGAAAACUGGAGUUGAUAGGGUCAGUGUUGGCACAUUUUAAAUUUUGGUGAUAUCAUUAAAGAAGGAGAAACCAACAUGGCUUUUUAUGUUUUUAUUGUAAAAAAUACUUAUUGUUCAUUUGAUAGUGUGCUCAGAAUCCUCACAGUACUGAAGAAGUGUAAUUUUUUUUAGCAGAUUGCCUUUUUUCUAUGACACAUAAUCAAGAAUUAUGCAAAGAAAAGAUCUUGUACUUUUUUAUUUGAUUAGAUAGCAACUACUAUUGGGUUGCUAUUUUUAUAUUUUUAUGAUGUGAAUUAUGUCUAUAUGAUGUGCAUUUGAAGUCACAAGAUUUGUGAACAUAAUUAUUUAUCAAAAGAAAAUAUUUUAUAUUAUAAUGAGGUGCUAUUCAUUGAUGUAAAUGUGAGAGCCAUUUGGUUUAGUUAUGGUCAAUCUCAUUGAUAAGAUGUGUGACCAGAAAAAGAAAAAUAUUGAAAUCAAUUUUUUUAAGCUGCACUGUCAAGCCCCCCAAAAAAUCACAUUUAUUUAUAUUUCAGUUUCUAUGAAUGGAUUCACAUCCAGGCAUGAAUAUCAGCCAUGCAUGAUUGGAUCUGAAGUAUAAUCAUUAGUUUCAUAUGGUUAGUAUGUAUUUCAAUGGCUAUUGGUAUUUUGCAUUGUAUUGUAAAACCUUCCUCUAUAUACACAUGGAUCAAUACAGGUGUUUGUGAUGCAGGCAAAAAAAAAAAGGAUUGAAAUAGGGGAGAGUAUUUGUGCACAAUGCACACUUAUGAUAUACACAACCAACAGGCCAGUAGUUGCAAUAAACACUGAUUUCAUGAGAAAGUCUGUAAAACCAGGCUUAAUUGUCAGUAUAUCAUUGA